UCUCUCCCCUCUCCCCACCUCUCCCCUCUUUUAAAGGACUUAAGUGACCCUUCCCGUACCCUGUGCUUUCACCGUCUUAAUUACAGCGCCAUCCUUCCUGUUCAUCGUGGUGUGAGUCUGUAUCACAUUGGCUGUGCACCGUGUGAAUUUCACUCAGACAGCGCUCCCCCCGCUUGCCCUGUCCCCCGCCUGCAUAACUGGCUGGUGAAGGAAGGGAUGUGUGUACGUGUGUUCCACGCUUGACAGUCGCCGGCAGUCGCCUGAAAAAUCACCUAAGUGGGACAGGCCCAUUACUUAUUGUUUAGUUUAUUGCCGCGUGCACCAAGGACAGUGAAAAGCUUUUGUUGCGCGCUGACCAGUCAGCGAAAAGACCAUGUAAGAUUACCAUCGAGCCAUCCACAGUGUACAAGUAGUAGAGGUUGAAAAGAGUGAGGCGACUGUAAUGCGUAAUUGCAGAUUCACUUCUGUGACCAGCACACAGAGUCGCCUGGUUUGGGAAGUUUCCUCUAUUCAGAUACCAAUGUUGCCCUUUGUUGGAACACUAUUUUUGCCCUAUAUCGGGAUACAUGUGAUUUGUGCCCUAUAUCGGGAUACAGUGCAUCUGUAGAAAUUUGUAACAGCUAUGAAAGCAUUGAAAAGGCACUUGGGCAGGUACAUGGAUAGGAAAGGUUUAGAGGAAUAUGGGCUAAAGGUGGAACUUGCUUAGAUGGGGCAUCUUCGGCAGCAUGGACGAGUUGGGCUGAUGGGCCUGUUUCCAUGCCGCAUGACGCUAUGACGAGGGAUUGAGCUAGAGGGAGCUAGAGAGAGAGAGGUGGGGCAGGCCAGAAUGUUAAUUCUUGGAGCACUCGAGGUUGAGGGGUGAUCUUAUAGAUGUGUAUAAAAUAAUCAGUGGAAUAGAUGCGAUGAAUACACAGAGUCAUUUUCCCAAGGUAGGGAAAUCAAAAACACGAGGACUUAGGUUUAAGGUGAGAGGGGCAAGAUUUAACAGUAAAUAAAAGACACCUGGACAGGUACAUGGUUAGGAAAGGGUUAGAGGGAUAUGGGCCAAACACAGUCACACAUGAUUAGCUUCGAUGGGGCAUCUUGGCCGAUAUGGACGAAUUGCACCAAAGGGCCUGUUUCCAUGAUGUAUGACCUUAUCUGUUUAUCAGGACAACUAUGCUGCUUGUCAUUGGAAUAAUUAUGUUUCUCUGUAUUAGGAUAAGUUGGAUACCUUUGCAAGCCUUUGAUAUAUCUGGGAGAGUUAUAUGGCCUUGUCCCAUUCACUCCCAACUCCUGUCCAAACUCUGUCCAACUCCCUUCCUCCUCACUCCCAUUGAGCCCUGCCCUACUUCGAUCUCUGCUCGCCUUCCCCUCGCAUUUAAUCUCUAUUUCCUCUUGUUUAUGCUUCAAUGCUUCCACUUGCUCUUACUGAGCUGCUCACAUUGUUCCUUAACCUAUUAUUUCUCAUCUCUAAUAGGAAUCGGGUAAAGUGAAGAACAAUUUUUGUAGCUUUUCUAUUAGGCUGUUUUUUCCCCCAAUGAUGACUAGCCGUUGCUACAGUUGUUUGAUGAGAUGAAUACCAAAUGGACAUACUGUAACUAAUUGUUCUCUUGGUAGAGUUUACAAGUAUUCAAAUUCAAAGGAGGAGAAAAUACGACUGACGUGCAUGAAUUUGAGUUAUGGAAGUACAAGUGACAGUGUACGCCUGAUGUGCAAAGAGGCUUUGGUCCUGGUAACCCAGGGGAAAUAAUCACCUCCAGCUUUUCCUGAGCCAGAAUAUAUGGGAAUCUGACCCAGUCAUGCCUGCUGUGAAGAAUGCUUUACAUAAAGAUGCUGCAUGACCCGUUGUGUUACUCCAGGAUUUUACGCCUGUCUUCGGUUCCUUCCGGCAGGUUCUAUCGCUCACCUGCACAUGUGGGAAGAACCCAGAGCACCCGGGGGAAAUAAACAUGGUCACGGGGAACAAGUAAACACCACACAGUGAGCACUGGAGGUCAAGAUGAAGCACAGCUCUCAGUGGACGUGAGGCAGCAGCUCUACCGACUGUACAGCUGUGACAUCCCAACCACAAGGAACAGAACUAAGUUGGGUGAAAGUAGGCACUGUCAGGACGCUGCUGACUGUGGCUGUCAGGCUGAGAUGUCAAUUAUUAUUAAAAGUGGAAGAACUCAUUAAAACUUUCAAGGACAACCCAGCUCCAUGAAGGAGAGGGGAAUGCAGACAAAACACAGUCCUUGCAACACAGCUGAAAGGUAAAGCUUUGCAUCAAAUAAUAGUGAACAAUUCCUCUAAGCACAGAGAUGAUUUUACGCCAAAAAGACAUCAUCCUAAAUGGUACAUCUUGCAUGAUUAACACUCUUCAUCCUAUACGUCUGGAUGGGUUUCACAUAUAUGAAGUAAGUAGAACUACUAUGUGAGAGCUGUAGAUUAAAAUGUUACAUUUUAGAGAUACAGUGUGGAAAAAGGCCCUUCAGCCCAUCAAAUCCACACCGAUCAGUCUACUAACACUAACACUAUUCUACAAACUAGGGACAAUUUACAAUUUUACCAAAUCCAAUUAGCCUAUAAACCUGUACGCCUUUGGAAUGUGGGAGGAAACCAAAACACCUGGAGAAAACCCACGCGGUCACAGGGAGAACGUACAAACUCCGUACAGACAGCACCUGUCGUCAGGAUUGAACCUGGGUCUCUGGAGCUAUAAGGCAGCAACUCUAGUGCUGUGCCACAGUGCCGACCCAGAACAAAGAUAGAACAAAGAUAAUCCUGACAUAGGUG